rnacentral:rRNA from 1 species
GAUGAACGCUGGCGGCGUGCUUAACACAUGCAAGUCGAACGGAAAGGCUCCUGCUUGCAGGGGUACUCGAGUGGCGAACGGGUGAGUAACACGUGGGUGAUCUGCCCUGCACUUCGGGAUAAGCCUGGGAAACUGGGUCUAAUACCGGAUAGGACCACAUUUUGGAUGGUGUGGUGGAAAGUUUUUCGGUGUGGGAUGAGCUCGCGGCCUAUCAGCUUGUUGGUGGGGUAAUGGCCUACCAAGGCGUCGACGGGUAGCCGGCCUGAGAGGGUGUACGGCCACAUUGGGACUGAGAUACGGCCCAGACUCCUACGGGAGGCAGCAGUGGGGAAUAUUGCACAAUGGGCGCAAGCCUGAUGCAGAGACGCGGCGUGGGGGAUGACGGCCUUCGGGUUGUAACCUCCUUUCGCUAGGGACGAAGCGCAAGUGACGGUACCUGGUGAAGAAGCACCGGCUAACUACGUG